GGAAUUUUGGACAAUGGGCGCAAGCCUGAUCCAGCCAUUCCGCGUGCAGGACGAAGGCCUUCGGGUUGUAAACUGCUUUUGUACGGAACGAAAAAGCCUUGGCUAAUACCCAGGGUCCAUGACGGUACCGUAAGAAUAAGCACCGGCUAACUACGUGCCAGCAGCCGCGGUAAUACGUAGGGUGCGAGCGUUAAUCGGAAUUACUGGGCGUAAAGCGUGCGCAGGCGGUUAUAUAAGACAGAUGUGAAAUCCCCGGGCUCAACCUGGGAACUGCAUUUGUGACUGUAUAGCUAGAGUGCGGCAGAGGGGGAUGGAAUUCCGCGUGUAGCAGUGAAAUGCGUAGAUAUGCGGAGGAGCACCGAUGGCGAAGGCAAUCCCCUGGGCCUGCACUGACGCUCAUGCACGAAAGCGUGGGGAGCAAACAGGAUUAGAUACCCUGGUAGUCCACGCCCUAAACGAUGUCAACUGGUUGUUGGGUCUUCACUGACUCAGUAACGAAGCUAACGCGUGAAGUUGACCGCCUGGGGAGUACGGCCGCAAGGUUGAAACUCAAAUGAAUUGACGG
rnacentral:rRNA from 1 species